ACGCUGGCGGCAGGCUUAUCAUGCAAGUCGAGCGGARAGAGGUAGCUUGCUACUGAUCUUAGCGGCGGACGGGUGAGUAAUGCUUAGGAAUCUGCCUAUUAGUGGGGGACAACAUUUCGAAAGGAAUGCUAAUACCGCAUACGUCCUACGGGAGAAAGCAGGGGAUCUUCGGACCUUGCGCUAAUAGAUGAGCCUAAGUCGGAUUAGCUAGUUGGUGGGGUAAAGGCCUACCAAGGCGACGAUCUGUAGCGGGUCUGAGAGGAUGAUCCGCCACACUGGGACUGAGACACGGCCCAGACUCCUACGGGAGGCAGCAGUGGGGAAUAUUGGACAAUGGGCGCAAGCCUGAUCCAGCCAUGCCGCGUGUGUGAAGAAGGCCUUAUGGUUGUAAAGCACUUUAAGCGAGGAGGAGGCUCCUUUAGUUAAUACCUAGAGAUUGUGGACGUUCCUCC
rnacentral:rRNA from 1 species